rnacentral:rRNA from 1 species
AUUGAACGCUGGCGGCAUGCCUUACACAUGCAAGUCGAACGGCAGCACGGGUGCUUGCACCUGGUGGCGAGUGGCGAACGGGUGAGUAAUACAUCGGAACAUGUCCUGUAGUGGGGGAUAGCCCGGCGAAAGCCGGAUUAAUACCGCAUACGAUCUACGGAUGAAAGCGGGGGACCUUCGGGCCUCGCGCUAUAGGGUUGGCCGAUGGCUGAUUAGCUAGUUGGUGGGGUAAAGGCCUACCAAGGCGACGAUCAGUAGCUGGUCUGAGAGGACGACCAGCCACACUGGGGCUGAGACACGGCCCAGACUCCUACGGGAGGCAGCAGUGGGGAAUUUUGGACAAUGGGCGAAAGCCUGAUCCAGCAAUGCCGCGUGUGUGAAGAAGGCCUUCGGGUUGUAAAGCACUUUUGUCCGGAAAGAAAUCCUUGGCCCUAAUACGGUCGGGGGAUGACGGUACCGGAAGAAUAAGCACCGGCUAACUACGUG